rnacentral:rRNA from 1 species
UACGUAGGCAGCGAGCGUUGUUCGGAAUUACUGGGCGUAAAGAGUGUGUAGGCGGUGCUCUAAGUUCGGUGUGAAAUCUCCUGGCUCAACUGGGAGGGUGCGCCGGAAACUGGAGUGCUUGAGCGUGGGAGAGGAAAGCGGAAUUCCGCGUGUAGCAGUGAAAUGCGUAGAUAUGCGGAGGAACACCGAUGGCGAAGGCAAUCCCCUGGGCCUGCACUGACGCUCAUGCACGAAAGCGUGGGGAGCAAACAGG